UUCAGUGGACAGAUUUGAUUGAUUGCAACCACAAGAAAAAAUGCUAAAACAGUAUU
rnacentral:ncRNA from 1 species